rnacentral:rRNA from 1 species
AUACGAAGGGUGCUAGCGUUGUUCGGAAUUACUGGGCGUAAAGAGCAUGUAGGCGGAUAGAUUAGUCAGAGGUGAAAGCCCCGAGCUCAACUCGGGAACUGCCUUUGAUGCUGUUUAUCUAGAGACCGAGAGAGGUGAGUGGAAUUCUCAGUGUAGAGGUGAAAUUCGUAGAUAUUGGGAAGAACACCAGUGGCGAAGGCGGCUCACUGGCUCGGAACUGACGCUGAGAUGCGAAAGCGUGGGGAGCGAACAGGAUUAGAUACCCUAGUAGUCC